rnacentral:ncRNA from 1 species
CGGACUGCGGGACCUCUGCAAAAAGACAAACAUACCUUAGACGCAAGCGUCGUCGGUUAGUUUCCUAUUUUGCUCUUGUCCG